GACGAACGCUGGCGGCGUGCCUAAUACAUGCAAGUAGAACGCUGAAGAGAGGAGCUUGCUCUUCUUGGAUGAGUUGCGAACGGGUGAGUAACGCGUAGGUAACCUGCCUUGUAGCGGGGGAUAACUAUUGGAAACGAUAGCUAAUACCGCAUAACAAUAGGUGACACAUGUCAUUUAUUUGAAAGGGGCAAUUGCUCCACUACAAGAUGGACCUGCGUUGUAUUAGCUAGUAGGUGAGGUAACGGCUCACCUAGGCGACGAUACAUAGCCGACCUGAGAGGGUGAUCAGCCACACUGGGACUGAGACACGGCCCAGACUCCUACGGGAGGCAGCAGUAGGGAAUCUUCGGCAAUGGGGGCAACCCUGACCGAGCAACGCCGCGUGAGUGAAGAAGGUUUUCGGAUCGUAAAGCUCUGUUGUAAGUCAAGAACGAGUGUGAGAGUGGAAAGUUCACACUGUGACGGUAGCUUAGCAGAAAGGGACGGCUAACUACGU
rnacentral:rRNA from 1 species